rnacentral:rRNA from 1 species
GACGAACGCUGGCGGCGUGCUUAACACAUGCAAGUCGAACGGAAAGGCCCUGCUUUUGUGGGGUGCUCGAGUGGCGAACGGGUGAGUAACACGUGAGUAACCUGCCCUUGACUUUGGGAUAACUUCAGGAAACUGGGGCUAAUACCGGAUAGGAGCUCCUGCUGCAUGGUGGGGGUUGGAAAGUUUCGGCGGUUGGGGAUGGAUUCGCGGCUGAUCAGCUUGUUGGUGGGGUAGUGGCUUACCAAGGCUUUGACGGGUAGCCGGCCUGAGAGGGUGACCGGCCACAUUAGGACUGAGAUACGGACCAGACUCCUACGGGAGGCAGCAGUGGGGAAUAUUGCACAAUGGGCGGAAGCCUGAUGCAGCAACGCCGCGUGCGGGAUGACGGCCUUCGGGUUGUAAACCGCUUUCGCCUGUGACGAAGCGUGAGUGACGGUAAUGGGUAAAGAAGCACCGGCUAACUACGUG